GAUGAACGCUGGCGGCGUGCCUAAUAUAUGCAAGUCGAGCGAACAGACGAGGAGCUUGCUCCUCUGACGUUAGCGGCGGACGGGUGAGUAACACGUGGAUAACCUACCUAUAAGACUGGGAUAACUUCGGGAAACCGGAGCUAAUACCGGAUAAUAUAUUGAACCGCAUGGUUCAAUAGUGAAAGACGGUUUUGCUGUCACUUAUAGAUGGAUCCGCGCCGCAUUAGCUAGUUGGUAAGGUAACGGCUUACCAAGGCAACGAUGCGUAGCCGACCUGAGAGGGUGAUCGGCCACACGGGAACUGAGACACGGUCCAGACUCCUACGGGAGGCAGCAGUAGGGAAUCUUCCGCAAUGGGCGAAAGCCUGACGGAGCAACGCCGCGUGAGUGAUGAAGGUCUUCGGAUCGUAAAACUCUGUUAUUAGGGAAGAACAAAUGUGUAAGUAACUAUGCACGUCUUGACGGUACCUAAUCAGAAAGCCACGGCUAACUACGUG
rnacentral:rRNA from 1 species